UCGAAACUUUUGUCGAAAAAUAAAAUGGGAUUUUUCAAAUAACCUUCGAAAAUUUCCUCUGGCAACAUCGUGAUUCUGCAUUUGGAAGAACUCAGCUGCUCCAACAACUUCGAUAGUUCUUUAGGAGAGAAAUGUGGUACGAAGCAUUACCUAGUUUGUUUUUGACCGGUUUCUUUGUAUGCCUCCCAUAUGGCCUUGUUCCGGUUAUUCAUAAAAUCUUCCAAAAUGGGAAUGCAUAUUCAAGGCUUCAAAAUAAAACCCAUGAUAGGUUUUUCUAUAGAAGGGAUACUCGUUUGACUGGUAACCCUUAUGUGCUGGAAGGU